UACAAAAAAGAAGUAGGGUAGUAUACCCAAAGUUACAUUAAAGAAAUAUAAAAAGAUAAAAGAUCUAAUUGAGAAAGAAAGAACAAAGAGUGUGUGGCUGAUAAUUAUUACAGUCUCUCAAGUUCUUAGAGCAGCUUGACCGAAGAAGAAAGGAUCUUUGCCGAAGCCCGUCGAUCACUUUCAAAGACCCAAGAAUUAGGAUUUUUUCAAAUAUUCCAGAGAAUAAUUACAAGAUGCAGAGUUAGAUGGGUUGAAUUUAUUUCUACCUUGACUACAUUAAGAAUUCUCAAUCAUCAUUCAUGAAACUUGUUGCUACCUCCAACAGCUCUUGGCAUGUAUGAUAAUAGCGGACUUUGAUUUUAGAUUUCUUCCAUCAUUUUGCAUCUAAAUAAACAGUAUACAACUGUUUCAUCUUUUUCUUAGCAAUUUGGGCAGAUUUUUGAUGUGGAAGAGAACCGCCGAUGGAGAAGGCAGAGCACAUGGAGCUGUUCAUGAAGACACUUCCACAAAAAAAAAAUUGUGCAAAGUUCUAAGUCUCCAAAUAGAGUUCCAAAGUUCUAUUUGCACGCAUGAGUGGGGGGCAUAACUCAAUAGGUUCAUGGAGAAAAUUAUAUACAACUAGCUAUUGCGUGGAGAGUUGAACUUUGGAAAAUGGUGAAAAAGUAUGGAGGAGGUAGCCAGGGAUCGUCAAAAACUCUGAUGGAGGAGCCCGAGCUAACUUGCCAGUUCAGGCCUUUCUCAACAACAUUUUUACCAUCUAGCAGACUUUGCCAGCCCCAUGAAGAUAAUGUCCCUAUUUAUGCUCUCAUUGCAUCAGAAUGUCUAAAAUACUUUCCUUUGAGAAUUCUUACUAGUAAGGACUUGGGUUGAGCAAUUAUUCUCGAAA